ensembl:processed_transcript Tmem134 transmembrane protein 134
AGCGCCGCCCGGCCCCAGUUUAGCAUCGAUGAUGCCUUCGAGCUGACCCUGGAGGACGCGGGGCCUGAGCCCGAGUCCAGCGGGGUCGCCCGCUUCGGGCCGCUGCACUUCGAACGCCGGGCUCGGUUCGAGGUGGCUGAUGAAGACAAGCAGUCCCGGCUACGCUACCAGAACCUGGAAAAUGAUGAGGACAGAGCCCAGGCCUCUCCGGAGCCGGAUGGGGGAGUCAGCACCAGGUCAGGGCCAGGUGUCUCCAGUGCCAUCUUCUUUGUGCCGGGCAUCCUGCUGUUAGUCCCAGGAGUCUACCAUGUGAUCUUCAUCUACUGCGCUGUCAAGGGCCGCCGGGGCUUCCAAUUCUUCUACCUGCCCUACUUUGAGAAGUGAGCUGCAACUGGCCAGUGGCUCACCAGUGAUCCAAGACCUCAGGUCACCUCCACGUGUCCACAGGGUAUUCCUCCAACCUACACCUGGUUCUGUUCCUUUCACCUGGAAGGCAGAGGCCCCUGGGACCCUCACAACCAGCAGGCCCCUUUGAAUUUGCUCAGGAAGUUUAGAGCCAGCCUGGGAAUAUUGCCUCUUACCUGAUGUGUGCCUUAACUUAUUCCUGGGUUCUGGACUCCUGGGUUGGUGUAAUUUUGUGCUAAUAAAAGGGUAAUUAUUUCCAACAA